rnacentral:lncRNA from 1 species
UGAUUGGGGUUUUAAGACAGAUAUGGAAAGGUGUUAGACUUAGGGUUUCUAUUCAGACAAUGAUGAUUAUAGAGAUAUAGAUACUAAGCAUAUAUUGGAUAUUCUAGAACUCAAACAAUAAGAAUAGUCGAUCAACUUCCGUAUUUUUAGAUUAUCUAUCGCCGGAUCUAGGACCUCAGAUAUUGCUUGUUGGUCAUGAGAAAGUGUUGAUCGAUAUCAACAACGUGUUAUCGGUCGAUACACCUUUCAGUCCGUCGAUCGAUGCAACUAAUGAGUUGUCGAUCGAUGAACCUUCCAGGGAGCGUUACGCAAGGGUUUGACGUCACUACAAAAAAAGUCCACAUUGAUAGCACAUUAUUAUAGCCCGUUUUAUUGAAC